UACGGGGGGGCAAGCGUUGUUCGGAAUUACUGGGCGUAAAGGGCUCGUAGGCGGCCAACUAAGUUCAGACGUGAAAUCCCUCGGCUUCAACCGGGGAACUGCGUCUGAUACUGGAUGGCUGAGUUCGGGAGAGGGAUGGCGGAAUUCCAGGUGUAGCGGUGAAAUGCGUAGAUAUCUGGAGGAACACCGGGUGGCGAAGGCGGCAUCCUGGACCGAGUACUGACGCUGAGGAGCGAAAGCCAGGGG
rnacentral:rRNA from 1 species